CAAGGGAGGAGAAUGUGACUUGUUCUCUUGAUGCAGGAAUGAGAAGGUCAAGUUGCAGAAGAAUAAAUGGAAUGGAAAAGAUUUCAGAGCCAUCUUUGCACAAUACAGCCAUACCUGCCCGGCCCUGGGAAGAAAACCCAAUGCAUUGUUCUCUGCAUUGCCUCUCAGGAACAGAGGGACAGAUGGCUUCUUUUCAUAAGCCCUGCACACUUCUAGAACUGGGAGUAAGGCUCAUUCUGCUGAAAUGGCUCUUCCUGUCAAGUCCUGAGGAGAGCCAGCAGUGCUUUGGGCUUGGAAAAUGGGUACUUGUUGCCUUUUGUUCUCAGUUAUUGACUCUGCUACAAAUUCUACCUUUCUAGAAAAACAGGGAAGAUCCCAUUCGGCAUCUCACCCCACCAAGCCACCUCACUCUUUCUCUACCAGUCACUGUACUUAGCCCUUCACCUCCAGGAGUCCUGCACCUACCUUCUUAGCUAGGAAUUAUAAGUCCAUUUCACAGAGGGGAUCUAGAGGACCAAGGUCCAUAGCUGCCAGGUGGUGGAGGAGGGAAUCGAUGCUAGUUCUGACCUCUUUUUCAACCUUCUAGGUUUUCUGGGAUUUCAGAAAGCCUGAAAGUAUAGGAGCUUCAGCCCUGGUUUCCUCAGGUCAUUCCAAGGGUGAGGCCAGAGUGAGCAGUGUGAGAGGGGAGGAGGGAGCUACUUACCGGAGGUAGGACCUUAAACCCUGUCUGGCAGUCAUUGAGAAUACAAAUAUCAAUAAAUGCUAGAGAGAGGAUGUGAAGAAUAAGAAACACUAUUACACUGUUGGUGGGAUCAUAAAUUAGUACAACACUAUAGAAAUCGGUACAGAGACUCCUCAAAAAACUAGGCAUGGAACCACCAUAUGACCCAGCUAUGCCAUUCCUUUAGAUAUUUAUCCUAAAGAAUUAAAGUUAUCAUACCAUAGGAUACAUGCACAUCCAUGAUUAUAGCAGCAUAAUUCACAAUAGCCAAAUUAUGGAACCAACCUAGGAGUCCACCAGUGGAGGAAUGGAUAAAGAAAAUGUGGUAUAAUUGCUGAUGGGACUGCAAAGGGGUGCAACCACUCUGGAAAACAGUAUGAAGAUACCUCAGAAAACUUGCAAUGGAUCCACCAUUUGACCCAGCUAUCCCACUCCUUGGUUUAUACCCAAAGGACUUAAAAUCAGCAUGCACAGUGACGCAGCCACAUGGAUGUUUAUAGCAGUUCAAUUCACAAUAGCUAAACUAUGAAACCAACCUAGAUACCCUUCAACAGAUGAAGGGAUAAAGAAAAUGUGGUACAUAUACACAGUGGAAUAUUACUCAGCCUUAAAUAAAAUAAAAUUAUGGCAUUUGCAGGUAAAUGGAUGGAACUAGAGAAUAUUAUGCUAAGUGAAAUAAGCCAAUCCCCAAAACCCAAAAGCUGAAUGUUUUCUCUGAUAAGCAAUGCUGAUCCAUAGUGGGGUAGAGGGAUAGGGGAAGAAUGAAGGAACUUUGGUUUGCGUAGAUGGGAA
rnacentral:lncRNA from 1 species